CUACGGGAGGCAGCAGUAAGGAAUAUUGGACAAUGGGCGGAAGCCUGAUCCAGCCAUGCCGCGUGAAGGACGAAGGCGCUCAGCGUUGUAAACUUCUUUUGGAUGGGAACAAUAACUAAGACUUGUCUUGGCUUGAGGGUACCAUCAGAAUAAGCACCGGCUAACUCCGUGCCAGCAGCCGCGGUAAUACGGAGGGUGCAAGCGUUAUCCGGAAUCACUGGGUUUAAAGGGUGCGUAGGCGGUCUAAUAAGUCAGUCGUGAAAUCGCUGGGCUCAACCCAUGCAAUUGCGAUUGAUACUGUUAGACUUGAAUGGGGUUGAGGCUAGCGGAAUGCGGCAUGUAGCGGUGAAAUGCUUAGAUAUGCCGCAGAACACCGAUUGCGAAGGCAGCUAGCUGGGCCUUUAUUGACGCUGAGGCACGAAAGCGUGGGGAGCAAACAGGAUUAGAUACCCCCGUAU
rnacentral:rRNA from 1 species